rfam:Nicotiana attenuata strain TT chromosome 7, whole genome shotgun sequence.
ACUGAUGUAUUCAACGAGUUUAUAGCCUUGGCCGAAAGUCCCGGGUAAUCUUUGAAAUUUCAUCGUGAUGGGGAUAGAUCAUUGCAAUUGUUGGUCUUUAAC